rnacentral:rRNA from 1 species
CCAGACUCCUACGGGAGGCAGCAGUGGGGGAUAUUGCACAAUGGGGGAAACCCUGAUGCAGCGACGCCGCGUGAGUGAAGAAGUAUUUCGGUAUGUAAAGCUCUAUCAGCAGGGAAGAAAAUGACAGUACCUGACCAAGAAGCCCCGGCUAACUACGUGCCAGCAGCCGCGGUAAUACGUAGGGGGCAAGCGUUAUCCGGAUUUACUGGGUGUAAAGGGAGCGUAGACGGUUACGCAAGUCUGGAGUGAAAGGCGGGGGCCCAACCCCCGGACUGCUUUGGUAACUGUAUAACUGGAGUGCAGGAGAGGUAAGUGGAAUUCCCAGUGUAGCGGUGAAAUGCGUAGAUAUUAGGAGGAACACCAGUGGCGAAGGCGGCUUACUGGACUGUAACUGACGUUGAGGCUCGAAAGCGUGGGGAGCAAACAGGAUUAGAUACCCCGGUACGC